GUGUCAGCCGCCGCGGUAAUACCGGCAGCACGAGUGAUGACCGCUAUUAUUGGGCCUAAAGCGUCCGUAGCUGGCCACGCAAGUUCAUCGGGAAAUCUGCGCGCUUAACGCGCAGGCGUCCGGUGGAAACUGCAUGGCUUGGGACCGGAAGACCAGAGGGGUACGUCCGGGGUAGGAGUGAAAUCCCGUAAUCCUGGACGGACCACCGGUGGCGAAAGCGCCUCUGGAAGACGGAUCCGACGGUGAGGGACGAAAGCUCGGGUCACGAACCGGAUUAGAAACCCCCGUAGUC
rnacentral:rRNA from 1 species